AUACGGAAGGUGCAAGCGUUAAUCGGAAUCACUGGGCGUAAAGCGCACGUAGGCUGUUUGGUAAGUCAGGGGUGAAAUCCCGCAGCUCAACUGCGGAAUUGCCCUUGAUACUGCUGGACUUGAGUUCGGGAGAGGGUGGCGGAAUUCCAGGUGUAGGAGUGAAAUCCGUAGAGAUCUGGAGGAACACCAGUGGCGAAGGCGACUACCUGGACCGAUACUGACACUGAGGAGCGAAAGCGUGGGGAGC
rnacentral:rRNA from 1 species